rnacentral:rRNA from 1 species
ACUCAAAUGAAUUGACGGGGGCCCGCACAAGCGGUGGAUCAUGUGGUUUAAUUCGAAGCAACGCGAAGAACCUUACCUGGAUUUGACAUCCUUUGAAUACAGUAGAGAUAUUGUAGGCUCGCAAGAGACAAAGAGACAGGUGCUGCAUGGCUGUCGUCAGCUCGUGUUGUGAAAUGUUGGGUUAAGUCCCGCAACGAGCGCAACCCCUGCCUUUGGUUGCCAUCAUUAAGUUGGGCACUCCAGAGGGACUGCCGUCGUCAAGACGGAGGAAGGUGGGGAUGACGUCAAGUCCUCAUGGCCUUUAUAUCCAGGGCGACACACGUGAUACAAUGGUAGGUACAAAGGGCAGCGAAGUGGUGACACGAAGCAAAUCCCAAAAAGCCUAUCUCAGUUCGGAUUGGAGUCUGCAACUCGACUCCAUGAAGUUGGAAUCGCUAGUAAUCGCGGAUCAGCACGCCGCGGUGAAUACGUUCCCGGGCCUUGUACACACCGCCCGU